GGCCUAAAACAGAAGUCUUUUGUAGCCCUGACUGGAGAGCCUAUAGCUUCAUAAUGCUGAACAGAGGGAAGCUGCUGUCCUGUGUCCUCUGACUGACUGCUGGGCCCUGAGCUUGGUGAGGACCAGUGAGAAUCCAAAGCCAAGGCCACAAGAAGAAAGAGCUAUUGUCAUUGUUAAAAAGCAGAAGAUGAUGAUCUGACUGCCCAGAGAUGUUAUUUCAAGAAUAUAGCCAGGCUGGAAGAGAUAUACAUAGAGAGAGUAAGAAGAGUCAGAGAAAUGCCAUGUAGCUGCCAAAGGAAAAGAACUCACAGGAACCAUACAGGUUCUGCUUUUGUUUCCACAGAAGAUGAGAACCUGUGGAUUCCUUCUAGGCUAAUGUGGUUUGAUGGAACAAGAGCCCCUGAAAGCUCAGAAGAAGCCAGUAUGAUUAAAAGAGGAAAAU